GACGAACGCUGGCGGCGUGCUUAACACAUGCAAGUCGAACGGAGUGGCGAACGGGUGAGUAACACGUGGGUGACCUGCCCUGCACUUCGGGAUAAGCCUGGGAAACUGGGUCUAAUACCGGAUAGUGUGGGAUGGGCCCGCGGCCUAUCGGCUUGUUGGUGGGGCAAUGGCAUACCACGGCGGCGACGGGUAGCCGGCCUGGGAGGGGGGACGGCCCCAUUGGGACUGCGACACGGACCAGACUCCUACGGGGGGCAGCAGUGGCGAAUCUUGCGCAAUGGUGCGAAGCCUGAUGCAGCGACCCCGGGUUGGGGAUGACGGCCUUCCGGUUGGAAACUCCUUUCACCAUCGACGCGGUAGAUGGAGAAGAAGCACCGGCUAACUACGUGCCAGCCGCCGCGGUAAUAC
rnacentral:rRNA from 1 species